rnacentral:tRNA from 1 species
GUUUAUGUAGCUUACAUAAAGCUCAGCACUGAAGAUUCUAAGACGAGAUUAACCCCUCCAUAAACA